rnacentral:rRNA from 1 species
AAGUAUAAGCAAUUAUACCGUGAAACUGCGAAUGGCUCAUUAAAUCAGUUAUCGUUUAUUUGAUAGUACCUUACUACUUGGAUAACCGUGGUAAUUCUAGAGCUAAUACAUGCUGAAAACCCUGACUUCGGAAAGGGUGUAUUUAUUAGAUAAAAAACCAAUGCCCUUUGGGCUCUUUGGUGAUUCAUGAUAACUUAACGGAUCGCAUGGCCUUGCGCCGGCGACGGUUCAUUCAAAUUUCUGCCCUAUCAACUUUCGAUGGUAAGGUAUUGGCUUACCAUGGUUUCAACGGGUAACGGGGAAUUAGGGUUCGAUUCCGGAGAGGGAGCCUGAGAAACGGCUACCACAUCCAAGGAAGGCAGCAGGCGCGCAAAUUACCCAAUCCCGACACGGGGAGGUAGUGACAAUAAAUACUGAUACAGGGCUCUUUAGGGUCUUGUAAUCGGAAUGAGUACAAUUUAAACCUCUUAACGAGGAACAAUUGGAGGGCAAGUCUGGUGCCAGCAGCCGCGGUAAUUCCAGCUCCAAUAGCGUAUAUUAAAGUUGUUGCAGUUAAAAAGCUCGUAGUUGAAUCUUGGGCCUGGCUGGCCGGUCCGCCUCACCGCGUGUACUGGUCUGGCCGGGCCUUUCCUUCUGGAGAACCUCAUGCCCUUCAGUGGGUGUGUUGGGGAACCAGGACUUUUACUUUGAAAAAAUUAGAGUGUUCAAAGCAGGCCUUUGCUCGAAUACGUUAGCAUGGAAUAAUAGAAUAGGACGUGCGGUCCUAUUUUGUUGGUUUCUAGGACCGCCGUAAUGAUUAAUAGGGAUAGUCGGGGGCAUCAGUAUUCAAUUGUCAGAGGUGAAAUUCUUGGAUUUAUUGAAGACUAACUACUGCGAAAGCAUUUGCCAAGGAUGUUUUCAUUAAUCAGUGAACGAAAGUUAGGGGAUCGAAGACGAUCAGAUACCGUCGUAGUCUUAACCGUAAACUAUGCCGACUAGGGAUCGGGCGAUGUUUCUAUCUUGACUCGCUCGGCACCUUACGAGAAAUCAAAG